AGCGAACGCUGGCGGCAGGCUUAACACAUGCAAGUCGAACGGUUGUAGCAAUACAGCAGUGGCAGACGGGUGAGUAACACGUAGGAACCUUCCUAGGGGUACGGAACAACUCAGGGAAACUUGAGCUAAUACCGUAUACGUCCGUGAGGAGAAAGAUUUAUCGCCCUUAGACGGGCCCGCGUCGGAUUAGCUAGUUGGUGGGGUAGCGGCCUACCAAGGCGACGAUCCGUAGCUGAUCUUAGAGGAUGAUCAGCCACACUGGGACUGAGACACGGCCCAGACUCCUACGGGAGGCAGCAGUGGGGAAUCUUGGACAAUGGGCGCAAGCCUGAUCCAGCCAUGCCGCGUGAGUGAAGAAGGUCUUCGGAUUGUAAAGCUCUUUUACCAGGGACGAUAAUGACGGUACCUGGAGAAUAAGCCCCGGCAAACUUCGUGCCAGCCGCCGCGGUAACAC
rnacentral:rRNA from 1 species